GAAGAAUUGGCCACAUUACCCGCCACAUGUGAUUGUGAGGACUUUCAUUUUAUGCACAUUUUGGAGCACAGUGAGCUUGCUACCCAUCAAUUCAGCGUGCGGAGAAGUCCCCUUGCGCCGCCUCAUUCCUGGGCGUCUCUCAGCGCCGACUCUCUUGAGCGGUUCUACACUCUCCCAGAAAGCACCUGAGGGCCUCCACUCUGCUGCAGAGUUGAAAGAGGCCUACUUUAAAUAUGUGUUGUGACAGACUCCGCGCACGCAAGUGAUUCCUGCUCCUUGUCAUCGCUCCAAUGCCCCAUUUCCCCAAACCGCGGGAACAGCGGAA